rnacentral:rRNA from 1 species
UACGGAGGGUGCGAGCGUUGUCCGGAAUCACUGGGCGUAAAGGGCGCGUAGGCGGCAUGCCAAGCGUGUGGUGAAAGCCCGGGGCUCAACCCCGGGUCGGCCGUGCGGACUGGCGUGCUCGAGCACUGUAGGGGCGGGUGGAAUUCCGGGUGUAGCGGUGGAAUGCGUAGAGAGUCCGGAAGAACACCGGUGGCGAAGGCGGCCCGCUGGGCAGGAAGGCUCGCAAGAGCCGGCUGACGCUGAGGCGCGACAGCGUGGGGAGCAACAGG